GAUGAACGCUAGCGGCAGGCUUAACACAUGCAAGUCGAGGGGCAGCACGGGUAGCAAUACCUGGUGGCGACCGGCAAACGGGUGCGGAACACGUACGCAACAUACCUUUUACUGGGGCAUAGCCUUCUGAAAAGAAGAUUAACACCCCAUAAUAUCAAUGACUGGCAUCAGUUGAUGAUUAAAAUUUAUUGGUAAGAGAUUGGCGUGCGUCCUAUUAGCUAGNGGUAUGGGUAAUGGCCUACCAAGGCGACGAUAGGUAGCUGGUGUGAGAGCACGACCAGCCACACGGGCACUGAGACACGGGCCCGACUCCUACGGGAGGCAGCAGUGGGAAUUUU
rnacentral:rRNA from 1 species